CAGGCAUAAGCAAACUCGGCCCUCCAGAUGUUUGGGGACUACAACUCCCAUGAUCCCUAGCUAACAGGACCAGAUGGGAAUUGUAGUCCCAAAACAUCUGGAGGGCUGAGUUUGCCUAUGCCUG